GGGGUAGUGAUCUAGCCCGGCUAUGAUACCUCCUUGACGUGGAGGAUGUCACAGGUUCAAAUCCUGUCUACCCCACCA
rnacentral:tRNA from 2 species